rnacentral:misc_RNA from 1 species
GAUGAAGAACGUAGCGAAAUGCGAUAAGUAAUGCGAAUUGCAGAAUUCCGUGAGUCAUCGAAUCUUUGAACGCACAUUGCGCCCUCUGGUAUUCCGGAGGGCAUGCCUGUCUGAGCGUCAUUGUCAACCCUCAAGCUCAGCUUGCUGUUGGGUCCCCGUCGUUGCUUUAACGGCGGACCCGAAAGGUAAUGGCAGAGUCCGUGAGACCCUAGACGCAGCGAGCUUCUAGCACGCGUCUGGACGUUUUUCGGGCUCGGUCUUAACUAGAUGAUAACUUCCGAUUGACCUCAGAUCAGGUAGGGAUACCCGCUGAACUUAAGCAUAUCAAUAGCGGAGGA